GCCUAUUUUUUUAAAUAUUUUUUCCCUAUGGUCAUAUACACCUCAAAUCCCUGCUAGCCAUGCACUACCCAAAUAUGCUUCAAUGUAUGUUGUCUUUUAUUAACUACAGAAACAAAUGGCAUUACAAAAAUGGAAGGUGAGAAAGAAAAGGAGGAAGAUGUACCAGUAAAUUAUGCUGAAGAUGAAGAAGAGAACUAUGACAAUGAAGAGGAUGAAUAUGGAAACAGUAGAAGCUUGACUUCAUCUGAUGCAACCCCCACCACUCCAGUAAUGCUUACAGACAGCG